rnacentral:rRNA from 1 species
UGCCAGCCGCCGCGGUAAUACGGAGGGUGCAAACGUUGCUCGGAAUCAUUGGGCGUAAAGCGCACGUAGGCGGGUAUGUAAGUCGGAUGUGAAAGCCCUGGGCUCAACCGAGGAAGUGCAUUCGAAACUGCGUAUCUUGAGUACGGGAGAGGAUUGCGGAAUUCCCGGUGUAGAGGUGAAAUUCGUAGAUAUCGGGAGGAACAUCAGAGGCGAAGGCGGCAAUCUGGACCGAUACUGACGCUGAGGUGCGAAAGCGUGGGGAGCAAACAGGAUUAGAUA